rnacentral:rRNA from 1 species
GGUAAUUCCAGCUCGAAUAGCGUAUGUUAAAUUUGCUGCGGUUAAAAAGCUCGUAGUUGGGAGUCAGGAGAUGAACUGUGCGCUGUCAUGUCACAAAAUGACGUGUAUAGCAUUGCACCAGAUUCACUUCUUUAAUUUCGCUGCUCCUGCGUCGUCGAAGACCCAAUUAAGUUUGGGAGGCGCACUUUAAAGGGAAGGCGAUUAACUACUUUGAGAAANUUAGCGUGCUUAACGCAAGCGACUUGCUUGAAUACUGUUGCAUGGAAUAAUGAGAUAGGACCUUGGUUCUGUUUCGUUGGUUUCCGGAAGCCGAGGUAAUGAUUGAUAGGGAUAAACGUGGGCAUUCGUAUUGUGGUGUUAGAGGUGAAAUUCGAUGAUCACCGCAGGACGUACAACUGCGAAAGCAUUUGCCAAGAAUGUUUUCAUUAAUCAAGAACGAAAGUUAGAGUUUCGAAGACGAUUAGAUACCGUCCUAGUUCUAACUAUAAACUAUGCCAACUGGGCAUCUGGCGCUUGCAACAACAAAGCAUCGCCAGGCACCCCGCGGGAAACCAAAGUUAUUGGGUUCCGGGGGGAGUAUGGUUGCAAAAUCGAACA